GUCGGAGUCAAAGAGAACAUCUAGUCAGCGAGCCUGCGUGAUGGAGCUGAUGGUAGCACCGUUGACUUGGAGGGAGACAGACACAGGAGUAGCAACACUUGAGGGAGGAAAGACCAGAAUUUCAGUUUUAGUCAAGUUGAGUUUAACCCCUUAAGGACACAUGACAUGUGUGACAUGUCAUGAUUCCCUUUUAUUCCAGAAGUUUGGUCCUUAAGGGGUUAAGGA